CACACACACACACACACACACACGCACACACACACACACACACACACACACAACUCCCUCUUGAAGUGAAGUGUUUGCAUUCAUGUGUUUGGAGAGAGCGCUUGAAAGGGAGAAGACGCUGCCUUCAAAUCAGUCCUCACCUCAGCAGCAUGGUGCCUGCAUGUCCUUCUAGCUUCUAAAGGGAAGGUGUGAGAAGGUUAUCCUAUCUGGGCAGCAAGAGUCCAUCGUAUGAUUUUACAGUAUACCCUUCCUGACACAACCUUCUGGGUUUGGAAAUGGCACUGGACAUAUGGAAUUUUACCGCAGAUAUAUUCCUAGCUUUUUCCUGCUCUGUCACUGAUCAGAACAUGAUGGCACAUUCCCGAGGACAUUCACAAAUUCCCCACUAGCGCGUUGUGUUAGUGCUCAGCUUGUAAGGAGAAACGUGAAGUUUGAUUAUCAGUUGGACAGUUGUUAGGAAAAUCUGCAAAAAUGUGUUUUAAUUGUUUUAAAUACAUUUGCACAACAAA